UACGUAGGGUGCAAGCGUUGUCCGGAAUUAUUGGGCGUAAAGAGCUUGUAGGCGGUUUGUCGCGUCUGCUGUGAAAAUCCGGGGCUCAACCCCGGACUUGCAGUGGGUACGGGCAGACUGGAGUGUGGUAGGGGAGACUGGAAUUCCCGGUGUAGCGGUGAAAUGCGCAGGAUAUCGGGAGGAACACCGGUGGCGAAGGCGGAUCUCUGGGCCUGUCCUGACGCUCAGGCGCGAAAGCUGGGGGAGCGAACAGG
rnacentral:rRNA from 1 species